rnacentral:rRNA from 1 species
AACGAACGCUGGCGGCAUGCCUAACACAUGCAAGUCGAACGAGACCUUCGGGUCUAGUGGCGCACGGGUGCGUAACGCGUGGGAACCUGCCUUUAGGUUCGGAAUAACUCAGAGAAAUUUGAGCUAAUACCGGAUGAUGUCUUCGGACCAAAGAUUUAUCGCCUUUAGAUGGGCCCGCGUUGGAUUAGCUAGUUGGUUGGGUAAAGGCCUACCAAGGCGACGAUCCAUAGCUGGUCUGAGAGGAUGAUCAGCCACACUGGGACUGAGACACGGCCCAGACUCCUACGGGAGGCAGCAGUGGGGAAUAUUGGACAAUGGGCGAAAGCCUGAUCCAGCAAUGCCGCGUGAGUGAUGAAGGCCUUAGGGUUGUAAAGCUCUUUUACCCGAGAUGAUAAUGACAGUAUCGGGAGAAUAAGCUCCGGCUAACUCCGUG